CAGGAAUUUAGGGUGGAACAAGGCAGGGCCACCCUGGGCUAAUUACAUGGACUCAGGGAGAGGAGAAACUUCCUUGAGAGAGAAGUUUGGAAACAGACACAUCUGACCAGAGAAACUCUGACUGUGUGUUAGAUACAACUUAUGUGAAAUAAACUGCCAAGAGUCUCCUUGGAGCAUGGCUUCCUGCUUUAAGGAUUGUUCAGGGCAGCUGAUCUCCCCUACAAGACAGAAAUAUUACUCUGGAAAAUAGUUUUUCUGGCCUCUUCUAGACUCGGGGUUUGGGCUCUAUGUCCUAUUUAUUUCAGUUAUUCCACUGACCUGGGACAUCACAGAAAUUCCUUUACCCUGAACAACUCCAACUACUCCUUGAACAACCCUCUCUCCUCCUUGGUUCUUUCCUGCUGGGUUUCUGCUGGGCUGAGCUGGGAUGUGAAAAAGCCCCUGAUUCCCUCAGAUCACAUCAGGACAAUGAAAGAAUGUUAUUGCUGAAGAAAACUCCUGAAUGAUGAUGAAACAGAGAAACUCACCUUGAGCUGCUCCUUUCCUAGGAUGUGUCUUUUGGAAUGAAGUCACACUGCAAAGGACUUUGAGAGCUUUGAUUUUAUAGCUCUUGAAAAAAAAUGGAGUUUGUGUAUGUUUUGGGAGUUUUUUGUGUGUUGUAGGUUUGGUAUUUUAACAUUAAAAGCAAGUCCUAAAGACUUCCUGAAAUUUUCCAUACUGAAAGAUUACAGAAAAUAGGAAACUCCUGAGAAAUGCUCGGAUAAGAGGAAAGUUCCUGUGACCCAGAUGGACUAUUCUAUCCUAGAAUAGGUACUUUCCACAAUUGUUACUCAGUAUAAUUUACAGGGAAUGACACAUUAGUCACUGUGCUGGGACUCUAAUGACCCAUAGCAGGAUAAAUUAUGCUGUGUGCUCACACAAUUGUUUCCCUGAAAUAUGUUUAUUUUUCUGUGAAUACAGGCUGGGAUCACAGGAUGGUUUGAGGCACCAAGACUGUCUUAUGAGCACAUUCAGCUAUUCCUGCAGGCAAGGUCAGCUGUCUUUGUCAAAUCUACACACAAAUUAGUAGAGCUAAGGAUUCAUUUUCUCAUUGCAAUUUGUGAGAAAAUUAAUGAAUCAUCUCUUGGUAGGUGUUUUAAAUGUGAACAAGAAACAUUUUGUAAUUAACUCACUACAAGCCUAUCUACACCAGAGGUCCUAAAAUCCAGGAAAGCUGUAGACCUGAGAAGAUGGGCACUGGCUGGUGCUGUGUGAUGGGCAAGCCUGAAUAUUUGCUUGUGUCUUACAUCACUUGUGUUCCUUGUCCUCUUCCCUGCCAUGAAUAUUUACCUUACUCUUCCUUCCUUCAUUUCCAUGGGUAAUUCUUUGCCAUCUCCUUCCACUGCCAGUUUCUCUACAGAGCUCUUCCCCAAUGUCACCUCAUGCUGAGAGGAGCAGGUAUCCCACAUCAGGAGAAUCUGAGCUUCCUCUCCACUUGUGACACUUUCUGAUGACAGCAUCACGCUGAGGUACCUUGAAAACCAGCUUAUAAAUAAAAUGAAGAAAUAAAUAGUGCUGCAGAUUUGUUAAAUUUUGGAACAAGAAACAAUUUCCUGCAAUACUGAUCUUUGUAGAGGAUGCUGCUG